AUGAGGUAUAGGCAUAUUUUUUAACGUAUUUUGAUGAAUAAAUUUUCUUUUGUUUUCUCCUUUCUAAUUAUAGCUUAUGUAUUUUUUAUGCAUUGUGCAAAGUAAGAAUGAAUUCGGUUUAUUUCUUUGUAAAACAGAAUUUUUCUUCAUUCAGAUGCGGGGGAUAUCCAUAUUAAGGAUCAGUAGGAGCGACGAACAGUGGUUCAGAUCGAACAAUUAGCUGUUCAUUUGCUAAAAAAUCAAUUUCCUCAUUUUUUUUGAUAAACUUUUAACAUCUGGAAAGGAAAAUUCUCAGGCAAACAGACUACUUGCUCUUGAAAUGAACAGCAGGCUCAGCGAUAACAGAACCAAAUGUUAUGGGAAAGCAAUGGGUCACUGUAAUCGCACUCUAAACAUCACCGAACCCUACGGGCCCAGCCCGAUUAGCUAAAUAGUAACCAGAUCACCCUUUCUCAUUAGUAUAUAAACCCGUUCGCACCAACGCUCUUCGGUCAGUACCAAAAGUCAUCUUGUGUCGAGAACUUCGUGUACGAACGUGAGCUGGUUGCUAGUUAGUGAGAUCGGAUUAAAGUCUCCUUCAAGCAUAGUUGACCUUAUAGAAUCCGCGAAAUCGAGUCAGUGUUUCUAUGUGGUAUUAUAAUCAACCACACACACAACACCCUGCAUUGCCAGUGCGUCAAAACCGAGCAUACUGCGGAGAUAGUAGGUACUCGAACGAUUAACCGGAAGGAAAUCGGGUCAGCUGUUCGUUCUUCUUCAACAUGCAUGCUGUUACUUCAGGACUAACGUUACAUAUCAAGCAAAUCUCGGCGAAAGCAUGCUAUUUCCAGGCAUUCCCCUACACGAGGGCACAAUGCACGUGAAUGGAGACUUGAUCGCAUGUACAAUUCCGAGCAUGUUUGACUUUUCUAAGAAAAGUGGUGACGUAGAUAAAGGAGGUUCAAUUACUUCAGAAGCAUCACGCAUUAUGUUUAAUUUGUACGACACAUUUUUAUACUCAACAAACAAUAAAAUUUUGCUAAGUAAACAUUUAUAUGACGAACUUCCCUCUUUAAUACAUCGCCAUUUUUCCUAGGGAAGCGUACUAUGCUCGGUGUUGUACCAAGUCUCUAUGUCGUGCUAUCGUGAAAGUUUUCGCU